rnacentral:rRNA from 1 species
UUCGUGUGAACAGUGGUUGAUCACGAGUUAGUCGGUCCUAAGUUCAAGGCGAAAGCCGAAAAUUUUCAAGUAAAAAUUUAAAAUCAGAGAAAGUCAAAUGCCAAAUGAUUUUUUAUUUAACACUUGAAUAAUUUUGAACGAAAGGGAAUACGGUUCCAAUUCCGUAACCUGUUGAGUAUCCGUUUGUUAUUAAAUAUGGGCCUCGUGCUCAUCCUGGCAACAGGAACGACCAUAAAGAAGCCGUCGAGAGAUAUCGGAAGAGUUUUCUUUUCUGUUUUAUAGCCGUACUACCAUGGAAGUCUUUCGCAGAGAGAUAUGGUAGAUGGGCUAGAAGAGCAUGACAUAUACUGUUGUGUCGAUAUUUUCUCCUCGGACCUUGAAAAUUUAUGGUGGGGAUACGCAAACUUCUCAACAGGCCGUACCAAUAUCCGCAGCUGGUCUCCAAGGUGAAGAGUCUCUAGUCGAUAGAAUA